rnacentral:rRNA from 1 species
UACGUAGGGUGCAGGCGUUAAUCGGAAUUACUGGGCGUAAAGCGUGCGCAGGCGGUUUGCUAAGAGAGAUGUGAAAUCCCCGGGCUUAACCUGGGAACUGCGUUUCUAACUGGCAGGCUUGAGUGUGGCAGAGGGGGGUGGAAUUCCACGUGUAGCAGUGAAAUGCGUAGAGAUGUGGAGGAACACCGAUGGCGAAGGCAGCCCCCUGGGCUAACACUGACGCUCAUGCACGAAAGCGUGGGGAGCAA